ACCCGGUGUCACGAAUAUGAGCCUCUAGAAUACAGAAUAUCAUCCUAAUAAACAGUAUAUCCAAAGUCCGAUAAUACGGAAAUAAAGAGAUAGGAUAGGAGGGAGAAGAUCAAUGGCUGCGAACGCCGUGCAGCUACCUUGAUACUCCCAGAGGCUGGAUUUGCUGAUCAACUGAAUCUACUGAGCUUGAGACUGUCCUGGAUGUGCACACAAGGUGCAGGGAGUAAAGUGAGUACUCCGACCCAGUGAGUAAUAAAAGUAACUACAGUCCGAAGAUAAGAAAAUCCAAUAAAUACACAAAGUAAGCUACAAUCCGAAUAUACAGCAACAUAUGGAACUGAGCAACUAAACACCAGUAUAAAUACAAAUACAUGAAUGUAAUGCAAUGCAUAUGAUGGUACAUUCUAGUACCCACUACGGCGUGCAGCCCGAGCUAUCCAUAUUUAUUUAUCGUCGACGGCGCUCACUAGGGGUGUGUACAGACUCCGGAGGGGAUCCUACAGCCCAAGCGCAAUAUCUUGGUCAGUCAUUGUUACCUGACUGGUCAGCCAUUGUUACCUGACCAAUUUAUAUCAUACAGUACCAUUGUUACCACUGUUCAAGUAUAUCACACAGUGUUAUUGUUACCACUGUUUCAAGUAUAUCACAUAGUGUCAUUGUUACCACUGUUUCAAGUAUAUCACACAGUGUCAUUGUUACUACUAUUUCAAGUAUAUCACAUAGUGUCAUUGUUACCACUGUUUCAAGUCACUUUAUAAUCAGUCCAGAAAAUAAUAUAAUAAGCCCCUUGGGCAUUUACAAAACAGAAGUUCCCAGCCCGGAAUACAUUUAAAAAUAUCAUUUAUGUUUUCAACACUUAGAAUUAUGGCUAAGUUUGCAAAACAGCAUUUAAAACUUUGGACUGAAAUUAAAUGAUAUGCAAAUCAUGUUAAGCAGUAAUAUCAAUCCUCGAAGGAUUUUACAAAUCGGCACAAGGCCCUAAAUAUGGCAUCAAGCCCAGUAAUAUCAAUGAAGUGUGUGUAUCAAUCACCAGUAUAGUAUAAACAUCACACGGGAUGGACCAAGUCACAAUCCAAAAUAGUAUCCAACACCGCACUCGCCAUGGAGUGCGUCACGCCUCAAUAUAGCGUUACGAUGUGAAAGUCUGGGGUUUCAAACCCUCAGAACAACAUUUACAUCUAUUACUCACCUCAAGAUGGCCAAAAGUCUACUCUGUGAUGCCCUUUUCUUUCGAAUCGACCUCCUCGCGCGUCGAAUCUUGCCAAAACCACAAGGAAUAUAUUACAAUAGGCUAAGGGAAUAUAACCCAAUUGAAAAGACUCGAAAAAUAUCGAAAAUCACAAAAUUUGCAAAACCCGAGCCCCGGGCCCACUUCUCGAAAAAUUACGAAAGUCACAUCAACGGAUUCCUCGUCUUGCCACGAGUCCGUACAUAUAAAAUUUACUAAAAUCGGAGUUCAUUUGACCCCUCAAAUCACCAAAUCUUAUUUUCAAAUCCCUAGGCCUAAAUCCUCCAUUUUUCUACAAUUUUCAUGCUCAAAUCCAUACAUAAUUGAUGUACUUAACUCAAAAUAGGUGGGGAUAACUUACCUUCACAUUGAUGAUGAAAAUCCCCUCUUGAAGCUCCCCAAAAAUCGUCC
rnacentral:lncRNA from 1 species